rnacentral:rRNA from 1 species
GCUCGAGUGGCGAACGGGUGAGUAACACGUGGGUGAUCUGCCCUGCACUUUGGGAUAAGCCUGGGAAACUGGGUCUAAUACCGAAUAGGACUCCGGCCUUCAUGGGUUGGGGUGGAAAGCUUUUGCGGUGUGGGAUGGGCCCGCGGCCUAUCAGCUUGUUGGUGGGGUAAUGGCCUACCAAGGCGACGACGGGUAGCCGGCCUGAGAGGGUGACCGGCCACACUGGGACUGAGAUACGGCCCAGACUCCUACGGGAGGCAGCAGUGGGGAAUAUUGCACAAUGGGCGCAAGCCUGAUGCAGCGACGCCGCGUGAGGGAUGACGGCCUUCGGGUUGUAAACCUCUUUCAGCACAGACGAAGCGCAAGUGACGGUAUGUGCAGAAGAAGGACCGGCCAACUACGUGCCAGCAGCCGCGGUAAUACGUAGGGUCCGAGCGUUGUCCGGAAUUACUG